rnacentral:rRNA from 1 species
ACGGAAGGCAGCAGUGGGGAAUAUUGCACAAUGGGGGAAACCCUGAUGCAGCAACGCCACGUGUGGGAAGACGCAUUUCGGUGUGUAAACCACUGUCGUGAGGGAAUAAGGCUGAGUUUCGGCUCAGUUGAAUGUACCUCGAAAGGAAGCACCGGCAAACUUCGUGCCAGCAGCCGCGGUAAUACGAGGGGUGCAAGCGUUGUUCGGAAUCACUGGGCGUAAAGGGAGCGCAGGCGGAAGUGCAAGCGGUCUGUACAAUACCGGGGCCCAACCCCGGACCUGCAGACCGGACUGCAGUUCUUGGAUAAUUCAGGGGCAAGCGGAAUUCCUGGUGUAGCGGUGGAAUGCGUAGAGAUCAGGAAGAACACCGAUGGCGAAGGCAGCUUGCUGGGGACUUAUCGACGCUCAUGCUCGAAAGUGCGGGUAGCAAACAGGAUUAGAUACCCUGGUA